CCCGGAAGAGCUCAGUUGGGAAAGCGUUAGACUGAAGUUGUUAACGCAACAGUCAUCUAAAGGCCCCCGGUUCAAUCCCGGGUUCCGGCA
rnacentral:tRNA from 1 species